UAGUAAAGUACAGUACUCCCAAAAUAACUGUAAACGUCGUUAGACAAGUUAAUGUUAUACGCGUAAACGUUCUCAAACGACAUUAACUUGUGUUAGUGGAUUAGCUGCAGCAGCAGACGGAAGUAGCAGCAAGAGGUCCAAACGGUGGCAGCUGACAGCUCGCCCUCUAUGACGCAAGUACGUCACUGAUGGCGGACCGCACACUAGUCCACAGACACACACACUCGCCGAGGGACGGAGCAAAGUCACCGAGACACACUCUCGCAAGCCUAUUGGCCCAACUCCUGCCGAACUGAACGCGAACCUUCCGAGGUGAGACGGGUAGCAGUGGUACAGUAGUUUAGUAGAAUGUGGGACGGGACGGGACCGGCUCGGCGAGCAGUGGAGUGAAGCGGGCCGCCUCGGGCUGACGUGCCCGCCGCAUGUUGAGCAAGCAGCAAGUUGACGGACAUAAAAGUGGCUUCGACGCGGAAGAGAAGAGGAGCCGGGCUCGCAUUUAAUAUCAUUUCGUCGAAUCUUCCUUCCUGCAACUAUGAAAUUCGCCGAGCACCUUUCGUCCCACAUCACUCCGGAGUGGAGAAAGCAGUACCUUCAAUAUGAGGCAUUCAAGGAUAUGCUUUAUGCAUCCCAGGACCAAGCCCCAUCUACAGAAGUCACAGAUGAGGAUACCGUGAAGAGAUACUAUGCUAAAUUUGAAGAGAGGUUUUUCCAGACCUGUGAGAAGGAGCUGUUGAAAAUCAACACUUUUUAUUCAGAAAAACUUGCGGAAGCCCAGAGACGCUUUGCCACCCUGCAGAAUGAACUGCAGUCUUCGCUGGAUGCCCAGCGCGAAAGCAACGCUCCGCCCGGGCUGCGCAAACGCAAGACCGUGUUCCACCUGUCGCAAGAGGAGCGCUGCAAGCACCACAACAUCAAGGACCUGAAGCUUGCCUUCAGUGAGUUCUACCUGAGCCUCAUCCUGCUGCAGAACUACCAGAAUUUAAAUUUCACCGGUUUCCGUAAGAUCCUGAAGAAACAUGACAAGAUUCUGGAUACCUCCCGCGGGGCCGACUGGCGUGUGGCACACGUGGAAGUGGCGCCAUUUUACACCUGCAAGAAGAUUACACAGCUCAUCACGGAGACUGAGACGUUGGUGACCACAGAGCUGGAGGGAGGAGAUCGUCAACGGGCGAUGAAGAGGUUACGAGUUCCUCCGCUGGGUGCCGCUCAGCCUGCUUUGGCCUGGACGACGUUUCGUGUUGGUCUUUACUGUGGCAUCUUCAUCAUCCUCGCCAUCGCCUUUGUCCUAACAGGCACAGUGUUCAUCCGCUAUGAGAACGUGUGGCCUCUGGUGCGGAUCUACCGGGGCGGGUUUCUUUUGAUCCAGUUCCUGUUCCUCCUGGGCAUAAACACAUAUGGUUGGAGACAGGCGGGAGUCAACCACGUGCUAAUCUUUGAGAUCAAUCCUCGGAACAACCUCUCACACCAGCACCUGUUUGAGAUCGCUGGGUUCCUCGGUGUGUUAUGGUGUCUCAGCAUCCUGUCGUGUCUCUACUCGGAGUACCUCUACCUCCCCAUGCAAAUCAACCCCCUCGUCCUCUAUGGCUUCAUGCUACUCUUCCUCAUAAACCCCUUCAAGACCUGCUACUACAAGUCGCGUUUCUGGCUGCUCAAGCUGCUGUUCCGAGUGUUCACGGCACCGUUUCACCGAGUGGAGUUUGCGGACUUCUGGCUGGCCGACCAGCUCAACUCGCUGGUGGUGGUCCUGAUGGACCUGGAAUAUCUCAUCUGCUUCUACAUCUUUGAGCUGCAGUGGAGCAACAGCAAUGGCUUGUUGCCCAAAAUAAACGACUCCGCAAGCUACGUGUGCCACAGCUACUCGUACGGCCUGCGCGCCAUCAUCCAGUGUCUGCCCGCCUGGCUGCGCUUCAUCCAGUGCCUCAGGCGUUAUCGAGACACCAAGAGGGCCUUCCCCCACCUGGUUAAUGCGGGCAAAUAUUCCACCACCUUCUUCGUGGUCACCUUUGCCGCGCUCUAUGCCACACACAGAGAGCAAGGCCACACAGAUGCCGACACAUUCUUCUACCUGUUGAUCGUGUUCUCCACCAUAAGCUCCUUAUACACACUGAUCUGGGAUCUGCGCAUGGACUGGGGUCUGUUUGACCGCGGAGCUGGAGAAAACACCUUCCUCAGAGAAGAGAUUGUUUACCCACAUAAGGCCUACUACUACUGUGCCAUUUUAGAAGAUGUAAUCCUGCGUUUCGCCUGGACAAUCUCUCUCUCUCUGACCUCUAUGACCAAGAUUCACUCGGUGGGUGACAUCGUGGCCACUGUGCUGGCCCCCCUCGAGGUCUUCAGGCGUUUCGUGUGGAAUUUCUUCCGCCUGGAGAACGAGCACCUGAACAACUGCGGCGAGUUCCGUGCGGUGCGAGAUAUUUCCGUGGCGCCGCUCAACGCUGACGACCAGACGCUGCUGGAGCAGAUGAUGGACCAGGAGGACGGGGUCCGCAACCGCUCGGGCAAGAAGACGUGGAAGAGGUCCUACAGCCUCACGCUGCGGCGCCCUCUACUGUCCUCUCAGUAAGGAAGAUAAGACACAAUGACCAGGGGCCUCAUGUACAAAAGGUGCGUACGCACAAAAACGCGGCGUCCGUUCUUUUUCACGGCAAAGUUCAGAUGUAUCAAGAGUGACAUGACCGUGGAAAUGUGCGGUGCCUCACGCCAACUGCAUGGCUGGCGUACGCACGUUUCUGCUGCUUUUGGUGCUUUGGCGACACUUAGAGGUGAUGCUGGGAAACUGUUCUCAUAAAUCGGAGACACAUGAAUAAUUAGCACCGAUGAACAAUUCAUGCCCGGCAACAUUUGAUUUCAACAAUGCAAUUGAGGCAAGGACUGAGAAUUCAUUUGUUAACCGGUGUAUUUAAUGAACCACUGAUAUUUGUGAGGACACUUAUUAAUGGAUCAAGGCGAUCAUUUAUGCCGCCUAUUGCCUUCAUAAUCGCGUCGUGACUCCAGCACAUGCACUGAAAAAAAAAAGAAAAAGAGUCCUUUGAAUUUACUUCAUUUGAACAUGUACAUCGGUUGCACAUGAUUAAAAUGUGUUUAAAUUGACAUAAUUUACCCCUCUUCGCCUAAAAAAAUAUGAUUUAUUGUCAGUGUGCGUGUCCUCUCCUGUGUGUUAAAAUAAUAAAUUGAGUCAUCAAAAAGGAGUCAACGUUUUUGAUAUCCUCUUUGAUAUGCUGAUGUGCUUCUAUUGCUUCUAUUUAUUACAAAUACCACACAUACAACAUUUAGGCAUGAACCUUUAUCUCACAGGGCUGAGUGUAGGUUACUGUAUGAACACAUUUGUGAUGAGUUCUAAAAAUACAUGGUAUUAACCUUGUGGGGUGAUCAUAGUCAGCCGUGAGUCCUCCCAUCACCCCGUGAUCGCAGCGAUUCUCUCCUCAAACAGGUGAGGCCCUCCGCGCCGGUUCUUCCACCUUUUUCUGGCCACACUUUGGCGGUGGGCAGCUGUCCUCCGCUUCACAUCCACCUUAAUGUCUGACCACUUCUUUUUUAGUUCAGCGUGCGCGCUAUUCUGUCUCCACAGCAUUGACAGCCGGACACGCGCUGUCCCAUUCGCUCCUCUUUCGCGUGUUGUUAACGCCGUACGACAGCGUGCCAAAGAAGAUUUUCUUGUGUGCCUCCACUUCAUUAAGCAACUUCACAUUCAGAAAAAUAAUUGUUCUUCAUUACCUUGCUCAUUGUCCUUUUUUUCUGAUUAUGCAGAGAUCGGCAUCUCAGGGUGCAGGGUUCAUUUAAAUAUGAUUUGCAUAUUCAAAUGUGGGCGUGGACAGGGAGGAGUCAGCUACUCCAAUAUGUGCGCUCAUUUCCACGUUGAUUGGAACGUACGAAGGAAAUGUGCUUGGAUUCACGAGUACGCGAGUUUCAUACAUCUGAAUGUUUUUGUGCGUACGAAGUUUUCUGGAUUUGAGCGUACGCCAUGUUUUAGGAGGAAAUCCACGUCCAAAAAGGACACCAAGGUUCUAAUUGAGGAUACGGAUGAUGAGGCCUUCAGCUGAAUCACCAGCAAGCAUCGGCACAUGUCGACAAACAACCACACACACUCACACACAUACACGCCACAUGGGUCUUCUUUUCCAUCUCUAACCUUUAGUCAAAACGCCGCCGCCCCACCCCCCCCAAAAAAAAGGUUGCUGGGCAAUGAAAAGUACUUAUCGCCAUCAUUUGUGAGAUUUAUUUUCAUUCAUGCAAACUAUGAAAACAAUGAAAAUGUUGUUGGUGUUUUUCUUUAUCGUAAAAAACAAAAUGGAAAUCAUGCAUUUCAACAGUUUGUGAUUUAUUUUUUAGUCAUUAUUUUUGCGCCCCCGCCCCCAAAAGAAAUGUCCAUGUUUAGUGGAUAUUUUUCUUUUUAUUUUAAAAAUUGAAAACAAUAAGAAUAUAUUUCCAAAUGAUAUUUUGUUUUUGUUUUUAUAUUAAAAAAACAUGUAUCUCCAAAUUUGUGGAUUUUUUUUAAUUUCUUUUUUGUCAAAACAAACAUUGAAAUGAAUAUAAAAAAAACAUUUUUACAAGAAUGUAUGUCCACAUUUUGUGGAUUUUCUUUUCUUUUUAUUUGAAAAACAAAAAUAUUGAAGAUAUCUCUGAAUGUUGUACUGGUAUUUUUUUCUUAUCUAAAAAAUAUGUUGAAAAGCAUGCAUUUCCAAAUGUUGUGGAUUUUUUUUUAUGUUAAAAAACAAACAUUGUAUUUGCACAUUUUAGGAUUUUUUUUUUUCCCUUAAAAAAAACAAAAAACUAAACAAAAACAAAGGCAAUGGAAAAACAUGUAUCUCCAAAUUUUGUGAGCUUUUAGAGAGAAAAAUGCCCAAAAAAACAAGAACAACAGGGUAUUGUUGUUUUUUGGCUUUAGAUGUUGAAAAGAAAAAUUUCCUGAGAAUCGGAGAUACUUUUCAUUGCUCAGUGACGAAACCAGUGAGGGGCUAACAAAGACCUCGUUACCUCAUCCUCAUGUAAACACACACACACACACACACACACACACCAUAAUGUGGUGAUCCUCACAAUCUGCUGAAGCACAAAUAUAGUAUUACACUCGACGUAUAAGACAACAAUGUUCCUUUUCUUUCCUUCUCUCUAUCCAUGCAUGCCAUGCAACAAAAAGCUAUUAUCGCCACCGUUUUUGUUUUGUUUUUGUUUUUCUUUCCAAAACCCAACAAAAAUAUUGUUUUCUUUGUGUUUUGGAUGAAAAUGGAAACAAUUUGAGGUUUUUUUUUUUUUUUUGGUGGCAUGGCGAUGAUGUGCUUUUAUUUCUAACCAAGCUGCAUUAGACGACUGUUUACAUGCCUUUCUGGACUACUUACAGGAUCAACAGGGACAACAAGAAACAAUCAAAAAAAAAAAAAAAAAAAAAAAGAGAA